GAUGAACGCUGGCGGCGUGCUUAACACAUGCAAGUCGAACGGAAAGGCCCUGCUUUUGUGGGGUUCUCGAUUGGGGAACGGGUGAGUAAAACGUGAGUAACAUGCCCUUGACUUUGGGAUAACUUCAGGAAACUGGGGCUAAUACCCGAUAGGAGCUCCUGCAGCAUGGUGGGGAUUGGAAAGUUUCGGCGGUUGGGGAUGGACUCGCGGCUUAUCAGCUUGCUGGUGGGGUAGUGGCUGACCAAGUCUUAGACGGGUAGCCGGCCUGAGAGCGUGACCGCGGACCAUGGUACUAAGGGAGGGCGCAGUCGGGAACGGUAGGCAACGGGGGAAAGUAUUGCACAGUGGGCCGGAGUCUGUGAUGGAGGCGCCGGGUGCGUAAUGACGGCUUUCGGGGUAAGAACCGCUGUGGACUGAGACGAGGCGUUAGUGACGGUAAUGAAUAAAGAAGCACCGGCUAACUACGUG
rnacentral:rRNA from 1 species